rnacentral:rRNA from 1 species
AUGAACGCUAGCUACAGGCUUAACACAUGCAAGUCAGGGGCAGCAUGAACAAGCUUGCUUUGUUUGAUGGCGACCGGCGCACGGGUGAGUAACGCGUAUCCGACCUGCCCAUGACUCGGGCACAGCCGCUCGAAAGAGCGAUUGAUUCCCGAUAUGUCUUUGGAGUAUAUUCUUAGAUGAAAGAUUUAUCGGUCAUGGAUAGGCUCGCGUGACAUUAGCUAGACGGCGGGGUAACGGCCCACCGUGGCUACGAUGUCUAGGGGUUCUGAGAGGAAGGUCCCCCACACUGGAACUGAGACACGGUCCAGACUCCUACGGGAGGCAGCAGUGAGGAAUAUUGGUCAAUGGUCUGACGACUGAACCAGCCAUGCCGCGUGAAGGUCACGGCCCUAUGGGUCUUAAACUUCUUUUGCGAGGGAGCAAUAAGGUCUACGUGUAGUCCGAUGAGAGUACCUCGCGAAUAAGCAUCGGCUAACUCCGUG